UCACAGGGAAGGAGCUUAGAAAACACUGAAUAAAAAAUAGUUAUUACAAAGAUCAAGUGGCAGCUUAUAAAAGCUGGCUGUAACCACCCUUCAGCUGCCUGGCAAACUGCAUUUUUUGAGACCACAGCCCUGGGCUCCCUUGGAGUUAGCAACAUCAAGGUUAUCAUCCCCUGACCCAUCAGCAGGGACUCCUGGCUCUCCCACUCCCACCACCUUCAUCCAGCUAUUGAGGGCUGUCUGCCAACAGUGAUGAAGCUGAUGGCUGUCAGGUUUUGGGGGCUAAGGGGGAAGAAGUGUCUUGGCGACGAUUGCGGCCAUGGCGGAGCCGCGCUGCCAGAGGUCCUGGGCUUGUUCCCACUGACUGCUGUGUCCCUGCUUGUGGCUGCUGGACUAAACUACACCAUCGGGGCAGCAAAACAUCAAACCAACAAACAGAAGGUGAAGUCAAAGGCAGAGAUCAAGCAUGGACCGUUUCAUCUCAAGUGGAAGGAGUUUAGGAAUUCAUGAGCAAAUGAAAAUGGAAACCUGUCUGCAACCUUUAUGAUACCAGAUAUAACGUUCAUCAAAAGUCUCUGAGCUCCAGUAACAGUGGAAAAGGAGAGCUGUGGAAAAAAAAUUGAGAGAUACUGCUUCUCUGUUCUGAUCUGCACCUAAAAAAAAAAAAAAGACAACUCAUGACUCUUGCCCUGCACCCUCGAACCAUGUCUGCCUGGCCUGGGUGGUACGAGACACCUGACAUGCUUAGCUGAAAUAAGAGAGCUAGUGCCUAGGUUCAGUCCUUUUUUUUGCAUUUUGACAAUGCAGUGCCAGCCAUCUAUUAGACAUUACGAUUCAGUUAUUUUCUACUUGUGCAAAAGCUAGACUGAGCGAGCUGAUCCAUGUGAUGCCAAUAGCAAUGAAAUUGGUGUAGUUUGCCUAUAUCAGGAAUAUGAGGCUGUGUAUACUGUUUAGCAUAGAUAUUAGGUGGCAUGCCUAAAAGAUUUUCUGCAAUGCUGAGAUUCUUGAAGAAAGACCACCCAUGCUGUGACUCCUGAUAGACUCAGCAGUAUGGAAUGAGUCAUGCACACAUCUCGAAAUACAAUGUGCACAUACUCUGCUGGGUCCAGCUGUACAGCUAGUCUGGAGCCCAGAAAAGGAGGAGCAAAGAAGACAACAUUCACUUAAGCCUGGGUCUUUGCUAGCGGGGCUAGAGGAGUCAAUGUCCACGGCUCAAGCCCUUGUUCUGCACAUUGUGGGAAUCCAAUAAUAGGCUUUUUACACUAGUCCUGAUGUGUAGAGUGGAAUGUGCCUAACCAGGGAUGCAGGCAGAGCAAAUCCUUGUUGCAAAUUUUAACCUGAAUCACCACAGUUUGAGAAGGACAGGAAAAAGAAGUGGAACCUGGUGCAGAUUUAACACUGGUAGGUUUUACUACCAUAUUAGUAUCUCAGUGAUUUCAUACGGAGAAGUUUACAUUGAAGAUUUUUAGUAAAACUUUCUGUGAAUAAAUCUGCUUUAAGAACGUAAGGUAAACACUCAGGCUGCAACCCCAUCUAUGGCUCUCUGGCUGAGCAACACAGUAUCUGAUCUGUGAUGAAUACCCAUACUAUCUGUCAAAUGUACAUCUCCAAAAUCAAGCUGUUUCAUUAAAAAUAAUAGAUGCGGUCCUAGUAACCAUGUAGGAAAGGUCUUUGCAAAGCAGGGAAGUCAGCUCCAGAGGAAAGCUGUAGGACCUGGGCUGGUGAACCUUCAUUGCUGUUUUUGCAAGAGGUGACCAUUACUGAGGCGUGGCAGCUUUAACCAGUUAAAUUACAAAUCCAAGUAAAGCAUCGACUCAUAAAGAAGAAAACUCCAGUUGAAAUGCUUCAUUUCCUAAACCAUGUAUGUACUCACCUCCUUUCUUCACAGAAGAAUACCAUCACUGUAAGUCAGUUGUGCUACAGCUUUUUAAGAAAAAUUAUUUGUUCAGGAACCUG